AGAUCCUAAGAAAUCCUAAAACUAAUAGAAGAAUUAGUUGUGGUUAGAUUUUAAUUACAAUCAAGUUAGCACGCAGUGGACUCUCUAUCCUAAAGUUAUCCUAGUUCUAGACAACUCUUUACUGUAGUUAGCCUUCAAGCCCUCCAAGUCGGAGCUUGACCAACCAACUGGCCAGAUAAGUGUAAGGUUGGUGGGAGUCCCCCCGUUGCUUUCCUUAGACACCAAUUAAAUUGGCCAGGU
rnacentral:lncRNA from 1 species